CAGUUUAAGUAUUUGUUAGUUGUGUUUGUAGGCCAAGCAUUGAGCGAUUGUAAGUGACUUUAGCUGUGGACCAGGGCAGCAUUCUCGAAAAGUCUGCUGAUAUUGGAAGGCAGGGGCGUAGGCAGCCCCCUUUCCGGACAAUUGGGCAACCCCGAUGGCCGUCGUUUUUUCACCGACCGCAUUCAAUGUGCGUAGUCACCGAAGAAAAGUUGUAGUCAUAGGGCCUUUCCGCUGAACUUCUGUCUGCAGAAUACAGAAAAAUCGGUCCGCCCUGGAGGAGCCACUCACCUGUUCUUUUUCAGCUUCCCUGCUGUAUCCCUACCAAAACUCUCUUCAAAAGUACUACCAGUUUCAUUUUUGUGUGUUCCACCCCAGUAACCCCAGUUCUUGAAAUCCCCAACCAUCCCUAACCAGCUGUGCAUGCCCUGUGCCUUCACAUAACUCCGAAAACCCCAUUUUAAACCCAAGUCACCAAGCACAACGACACAUCUUCGUCAACUCAAAUCAGUUCUUGUUUCGGUGAAUGCGUCAGAAAACGCGCGGUUUUGAAACGUUUUCCGAAACAGGAACAAAGAAAAUAUUUGAGAACUGCGCAGAACGAAAAUAAUGAACCGUGUUGAAGGCAAACGCUUUGAUCGCGGUUCAAAAAAGAUAUUAAAAAAAGAGAAAGAAGAAAAAUAAAAAAAAUAACUAAAACACAUUUACUAACAAUAGAUUAAGAAAAAAAAGAGAAAAAUAUAUAUGAAAACUUGCUGGUCAUCGUUGUACGCAGUUCUGAAAAGAUGUAUGCCAAAUGAAAUAAACACAAAAAAAGAAACGCAAGUAAUGAAAAAUGUGUGGAAACGUUAUACGAAUCUUCACCACGUG